UACAUUUGGAGUUUGGACUCAGUCCAAAGAGCCUCAUCUAUGUGUUUCUUUCUUUUCCAUUUUACUUGUAUUAUUACAUAACUAGAACUGAGCCCUACAAUAGGGCGGGGGCGUAAAACGAUGCUAUUAGAGGUGGAUGAAAUUAACAUGUUUCAAGAAUAUCGGAGGAUAAAAAUGGCAAUUAACUCUUUAUAUUAUUAUGAUGUUAAAAUAGCCGGACUACGGAGGGACGGGUAUCCAGCUAGUUAGAUAGAUAGAGAUUGAAUUGUUAGGGUUUGAAUGGGGAAUGCCAACAGCCGUGGAGCUGUUGAGGAAGAUCCAGAAGAAGAAGCUAGAACCUCCAGAUCAUCUCAAGGCUUAAUAAUAAUAAUAAUAAUAAUAAUAAUAAUUCAGUAUGAGACGCCAGCCAAGGAAAAUCAUUACUUUAACAUACUCCAGUCCGUCCAGUUUAACUAACAAACAAUCGCAUUAUGUUCCUUCUGGCAGGCAGGCAGGAACUAAAUGGCAGUAUGGUUACACAGGAUGUUGCAGUUAAGAUAUUUACCAAGCAAGAAUACUCUGAUGACUGUCUUUUAGAACAGAGGUGCUAACUAAAUUCUCUAGGCGUGGGGCAUGAUUUAUCUUCAUAAUUGCCAACCGCCUAUCAUUCACCGCAAUCUCAAGUCUUCAAAUCUUCUUGUUGACAAGAAUUGGACACUGAAGGUUGGCGACUUUGGUCUCUCCCGUAUCAAACACGAAACCUACUUGAAAACAAAUACCAUGAAAGAAGUUGUUCGUAAUGAGCAAGUGGAUGAAAACUGAAAAGUAAGCCUGACAUAUAUGUAAAAUAACAGAUUAACAUGCAUGGGUCAGGUAUCUAAGUUGAAGAAAAUGAAGAUGACAGAAGAUCGAGAGUAGGAUAUCACAAACGAAGGCAUUCGGCUUCGCGAUUCAUUGUAUAUUGCUAACAAAAUGAGAUGCAUUCUGUUGUUCUAUACUAUCACUUGCUGAGUACUUUUUUUUGUUUGAAUUAAAUUUGUCUUAA